AUGGUUUGUAGACUGCUGGUAGUGAUUGCCCCCGUGCCAUGGGGAGGGGCGAUUUUCAGUUUAAAGGGUGGUCAGGCUACUGCGCUGCCAGGCUCUGCAGCUCGGAGAGCAUCUGGUGUAGUAAGGGUCGUAGGGGGCACAUGAAGUAACCGUGCCCUUCUUCCCGACAUACACCAUAGAGAAAGGGUCGUUUUUGAAGAGUUCGAGUGGAAUCAGUACCGCCUGAUCGAGUGUGGGGGGCUAUUUGCCAUUGAGUGAGCAUGGAGUCAUCACUUACGAAUUGCUGAAUUCUCGCUUCUCUCAUCAGGUCCGGUAGAAGGGAGCGGAUGAAGUGUGUGUGGAUUGUCUAUUGCAUGAACUUGCCAUCAUCUCCCAUGGCGAGCUUGGCAUGUUUCACAAAGCGUGAAAAAUGCAGGUUGAUGUUUGAGAUGUUUUAUAUUUAGUGGAUGUGAAGAAAUCCCAAGCUGAGUUCUUCUAGUCCAUGGGCACAAACAACAUCUUCGCUUGUUGUUGCACCUGGAGCCAGAUAUGAAGUGAGGACAUGUCGGCGCGGGAUUCGAACAAAUUUUUGGAAUCUCUACCUAAACUGGAUCGAAGUUGGGAGAUGCGGUAUGUUUCUGGUGUAGCGUAGGCAUCAACGAUAGUGUUGACAUCUCGAAGAAAUGCCAAAAAAUCAUCGUCCAGAGAUUUAUACCUUAGAAAUGACAAUGCUGGUGGUUUUCCCAUGUCUAGUCGAGAGUGUGACUAGGGUUGUGGUUGUUGAAAUAGGAGAGGUCUGUGUCAUCCCGCAUCCAAUAGUUGCUCUAUGCCACACACUACUAGUGCGACAAUGCAAUAUAUCUUGCGUUCGAGGAAGAGAUCAACAAUCUCAGUGGGAGCUAGUAUGAGAAGCGACCGACGAAGUUCCUCUAUCCUUGAGACGGCUUGUUGUGUGGGGUUGUUGGAUGGAAGAGAGGAGGGAGUGACCACUGAAAUAAGCCCGGUUGUUGCUAUUAGUGCUCCAAGUUGAUUUUGCAUUAUGGUGAUGUUUGGCAGAUGUAGACCGAAUCCCUCCAUCGUGGACAUUUGAAUGUUGGGGCUGUCUAUGCCCGUGCUUUGCAGCUCUCUCGAAACUUCAAGUUUAGUUGGCCGACUGCUGCUUGACAUGAUUCACAGUGCAAGGAAGAAUGUGAUACACAAUUCCAGGACUGAGGACUCACCACAAGUUGGUUUCUCUGUAAAUGGGGUUCGCCGUCCAGAAGGUCUUGCGGACUUCCAGAUCGAGUUGAACGAAGCUCUUGGAAAAGUGGGCUCCUCUCCGUUUGAUGAACAUGUCCUUCGUCCCCUGCCAAGCAGAUAAAUGUAGAUGUUCUUCUUCUCGCACUGCUAGGAGGGUAUCGAAGUGACCAAAUGCAGCGUUGCUUGUAUGGCCCACGUCCCAUUCCAAGGUAUGCAAGGGGUCAAUGAUGCCCGGGAUGAUCCUUAGGUCAUUUGCCCACACUCAAAAAGAAUGUGCCAGGAUGUACCUCGGGGGUCAUGGGGAUGUUGUUGGGCGCUUCUCUUGAGUUGGGGUCGUUUUCGAGACUUGAUGCAAGUGUAAGCAAAGGGAACCACUGAGCAGAUAUACGAUGAUGCUCCUAGCGAAUGGUUGGCUUCUUGUUCCCAAGCUGUGGUGCAUCGAGACUUCUACGAGGGUCAUGAGUCUAAGUGCACCGACUGCAGCGAUUGAAGUGUGAUGCGCACUUCCUCGCAAUAUACUCACGUUGAUGGAACUCGAUUGCUUGUUCGUUGUUUCUUGUCGCAAAGAUAUUAGGAAAGAGGAUGCAUGUCGUGUGUUGAUAUUCGACGAGUUCUCUCUAGAUUCCAGAUUCCAGGCGGCGAGUACCUUCAAAAUCGUCGUUGGACUUCCAAGGGGCGUGAAGAAUAUGUCGGAGGUUGGCAGUUCCUCAGCGGCCAUGGAUCCCUACAAAUCCUAGGUUAGUCCUAAUCGUCAUGUUUCGUACAAGAACGCUCAAAGAAUGAGUGCAUGCUUGGCGUCUCCACCAAACGUUUGGACGUGCUCUAAUCAUGUUCUCUGCCUUAACGCGACGAAUGAAGCUAUGGAUGUGGGUGCGACGGGAGCCUGCUAAGGCGACCUCUCAGACAGCCGUGGCCGCACGGUGCCGAACAUAUACGGUCGCGGAACAUCCGGAGGGAGAUGGAGGAUGGCCACCAACGCAGGCCAUGGAGAUGAAUGAAUAGUACCAAAAAGUGCCUGUGACCUUGACACAAGCCAGGGUUCUUAUAUUAGUUCAGCGACUCGGUUCAUCACCGAAAGCAGUUCAUCUGAGGUUUGUGAAUUAAGAACGAGUUCUCUGCUGCGUUGGGGUCAAUUAAGGUGGACGGUGAAAUGAGAACGAGGGUUUACCAAGCUUUGCAACAAGCAUUGCCAAAGUGCCCAGGAUAUAUGUGAGUUCACACAAUAAAAUCAAAUUGAAGGGAACUGUUUAUUGUCAUCCAGCAGCAAAUUAUGCGAUAUUAUGCACGAGCGGUCAUUGUAUUGGCAAGGUACCGAACCGAAGCAGCGAAUUCAGGAGAUGUACCGUGAUAUACACGAACAAAAGAAUUCCUCCAGAAUGCAUGAACACAUAUUGCUUGCUCGAGUAACAGUCAAUUUAGAUCUUCUCUUUCAGGCCCCAGUGCUUUACUGCAUGAUGGAAUCAUGGCCUAGCUUUCUGAGUUGAAAAUUCCUAGAGGAUAGCAUACGAAUUAACUAGUACGAAUGUGAGAUACGACUUUUGCCCAUCUUGGCACCACUCAUUUCGAGUGGUUAUUUGCAAAUUUGGCAUCUGCGUAGAACGCUAGAAAGUAAUAUCCAGAGGCUUACAGACCAUACAUAGUAAUAAUAAUGACGUCAGAUGAGAUGUGUAUACCAGAUUCAGUCAACUUGCCAAAAAUCUAGGCCAUGAUUCCAUCAUGCAGUAAAGCACUGGGGCCUCAAAAUGUAAACUACUCUUCAUAUCUUAUUAAUAUUCACAUGUGAAACUCCAUAUUC